GGGACACGUGGUAUCCUGUCUGAAUAUGGGGGGACCAUCCUCCAAGGCUAAAUACUCCUGACUGACCGAUAGUGAACCAGUACCGUGAGGGAAAGGCGAAAAGAACCCCGGCGAGGGGAGUGAAAAAGAACCUGAAACCGUGUACGUACAAGCAGUGGGAGCACGCUUAGGCGUGUGACUGCGUACCUUUUGUAUAAUGGGUCAGCGACUUAUAUUCUGUAGCAAGGUUAACCGAAUAGGGGAGCCGAAGGGAAACCGAGUCUUAACUGGGCGUUAAGUUGCAGGGUAUAGACCCGAAACCCGGUGAUCUAGCCAUGGGCAGGUUGAAGGUUGGGUAACACUAACUGGAGGACCGAACCGACUAAUGUUGAAAAAUUAGCGGAUGACUUGUGGCUGGGGGUGAAAGGCCAAUCAAACCGGGAGAUAGCUGGUUCUCCCCGAAAGCUAUUUAGGUAGCGCCUCGUGAAUUCAUCUCCGGGGGUAGAGCACUGUUUCGGCAAGGGGGUCAUCCCGACUUACCAACCCGAUGCAAACUGCGAAUACCGGAGAAUGUUAUCACGGGAGACACACGGCGGGUGCUAACGUCCGUCGUGAAGAGGGAAACAACCCAGACCGCCAGCUAAGGUCCCAAAGUCAUGGUUAAGUGGGAAACGAUGUGGGAAGGCCCAGACAGCCAGGAUGUUGGCUUAGAAGCAGCCAUCAUUUAAAGAAAGCGUAAUAGCUCACUGGUCGAGUCGGCCUGCGCGGAAGAUGUAACGGGGCUAAACCAUGCACCGAAGCUGCGGCAGCGACGCUUAUGCGUUGUUGGGUAGGGGAGCGUUCUGUAAGCCUGUGAAGGUGUGCUGUGAGGCAUGCUGGAGGUAUCAGAAGUGCGAAUGCUGACAUAAGUAACGAUAAAGCGGGUGAAAAGCCCGCUCGCCGGAAGACCAAGGGUUCCUGUCCAACGUUAAUCGGGGCAGGGUGAGUCGACCCCUAAGGCGAGGCCGAAAGGCGUAGUCGAUGGGAAACAGGUUAAUAUUCCUGUACUUGGUGUUACUGCGAAGGGGGGACGGAGAAGGCUAUGUUGGCCGGGCGACGGUUGUCCCGGUUUAAGCGUGUAGGCUGGUUUUCCAGGCAAAUCCGGAAAAUCAAGGCUGAGGCGUGAUGACGAGGCACUACGGUGCUGAAGCAACAAAUGCCCUGCUUCCAGGAAAAGCCUCUAAGCAUCAGGUAACAUCAAAUCGUACCCCAAACCGACACAGGUGGUCAGGUAGAGAAUACCAAGGCGCUUGAGAGAACUCGGGUGAAGGAACUAGGCAAAAUGGUGCCGUAACUUCGGGAGAAGGCACGCUGAUAUGUAGGUGAAGUCCCUCGCGGAUGGAGCUGAAAUCAGUCGAAGAUACCAGCUGGCUGCAACUGUUUAUUAAAAACACAGCACUGUGCAAACACGAAAGUGGACGUAUACGGUGUGACGCCUGCCCGGUGCCGGAAGGUUAAUUGAUGGGGUUAGCCGCAAGGCGAAGCUCUUGAUCGAAGCCCCGGUAAACGGCGGCCGUAACUAUAACGGUCCUAAGGUAGCGAAAUUCCUUGUCGGGUAAGUUCCGACCUGCACGAAUGGCGUAAUGAUGGCCAGGCUGUCUCCACCCGAGACUCAGUGAAAUUGAACUCGCUGUGAAGAUGCAGUGUACCCGCGGCAAGACGGAAAGACCCCGUGAACCUUUACUAUAGCUUGACACUGAACAUUGAGCCUUGAUGUGUAGGAUAGGUGGGAGGCUUAGAAGUGUGGACGCCAGUCUGCAUGGAGCCGACCUUGAAAUACCACCCUUUAAUGUUUGAUGUUCUAACGUUGACCCGUAAUCCGGGUUGCGGACAGUGUCUGGUGGGUAGUUUGACUGGGGCGGUCUCCUCCUAAAGAGUAACGGAGGAGCACGAAGGUUGGCUAAUCCUGGUCGGACAUCAGGAGGUUAGUGCAAUGGCAUAAGCCAGCUUGACUGCGAGCGUGACGGCGCGAGCAGGUGCGAAAGCAGGUCAUAGUGAUCCGGUGGUUCUGAAUGGAAGGGCCAUCGCUCAACGGAUAAAAGGUACUCCGGGGAUAACAGGCUGAUACCGCCCAAGAGUUCAUAUCGACGGCGGUGUUUGGCACCUCGAUGUCGGCUCAUCACAUCCUGGGGCUGAAGUAGGUCCCAAGGGUAUGGCUGUUCGCCAUUUAAAGUGGUACGCGAGCUGGGUUUAGAACGUCGUGAGACAGUUCGGUCCCUAUCUGCCGUGGGCGCUGGAGAACUGAGGGGGGCUGCUCCUAGUACGAGAGGACCGGAGUGGACGCAUCACUGGUGUUCGGGUUGUCAUGCCAAUGGCACUGCCCGGUAGCUAAAUGCGGAAGAGAUAAGUGCUGAAAGCAUCUAAGCACGAAACUUGCC
rnacentral:rRNA from 1 species